rfam:Drosophila persimilis strain MSH-3 cont1.000498, whole genome shotgun sequence.
CAAACGGCUCUUUUCAGAGCCACCAAUCUGUUGGCCAAAGAGCAUU